rnacentral:rRNA from 1 species
GACGAACGCUGGCGGCGUGCUUAACACAUGCAAGUCGAACGGAAAGGCCCUGCUUGCAGGGUACUCGAGUGGCGAACGGGUGAGUAACACGUGGGUGAUCUGCCCUGCACUUCGGGAUAAGCCUGGGAAACUGGGUCUAAUACCGGAUAGGAGCCAUUUUUAGUGUGAUGGUUGGAAAGUUUUUUCGGUGUAGGAUGAGCUCGCGGCCUAUCAGCUUGUUGGUGGGGUAAUGGCCUACCAAGGCGGCGACGGGUAGCCGGCCUGAGAGGGUGGACGGCCACAUUGGGGCUGAGAUACGGCCCAGACUCCUACGGGAGGCAGCAGUGGGGAAUAUUGCACAAUGGGCGCAAGCCUGAUGCAGCGACGCCGCGUGGAGGAUGACGGCCUUCGGGUUGUAAACUCCUUUCGCUAGGGACGAAGCUUUUUGUGACGGUACCUAGAUAAGAAGCACCGGCUAACUACGUG